rnacentral:rRNA from 1 species
GACAGAGGAGCCAAGCGUUGUCCGGAUUGACUGGGCGUAAAGCGCACGCAGGCGGAUGCGCGCGUGGGGUGUGAAAUCUGGCCGCUUAACGGCCAGGCGCCAUCCCAUACGGCGCGUCUGGAGUGAUGCAGAGGUCGAUGGAAUUGCCGGUGUAGUGGUGAAAUGCGUAGAGAUCGGCAGGACACCCAGGGGGAAACCAGUCGACUGGGCAU